AUUGAACGCUGGCGGCAUGCCUUACACAUGCAAGUCGAACGGUAACGGGCCUUCGGGUGCCGACGAGUGGCGAACGGGUGAGUAAUGUAUCGGAACGUACCUUUCAGUGGGGGAUAACGUAGCGAAAGUUACGCUAAUACCGCAUAUUCUGUGCGCAGGAAAGCAGGGGACCUUCGGGCCUUGCGCUGAUUGAGCGGCCGAUAUCAGAUUAGCUAGUUGGUUAGGUAAAGGCUCACCAAGGCGACGAUCUGUAGCGGGUCUGAGAGGAUGAUCCGCCACACUGGAACUGAGACACGGUCCAGACUCCUACGGGAGGCAGCAGUGGGGAAUUUUGGACAAUGGGGGCAACCCUGAUCCAGCCAUGCCGCGUGAGUGAAGAAGGCCUUCGGGUUGUAAAGCUCUUUCGGCCGGGAAGAAAUCGUAUCAGCUAAUACCUGGUGCGGAUGACGGUACCGGCAUAAGAAGCACCGGCUAACUACGUGCCAGCCGCCGCAGUAAGAC
rnacentral:rRNA from 1 species